UUGGAGGGCAAGUCUGGUGCCAGCAGCCGCGGUAAUUCCAGCUCCAAUAGCGUAUAUUAAAGUUGUUGCAGUUAAAAAGCUCGUAGUUGAAUUUCGGGGUUAGUAGGUUGGUCAUGCCUCUGGUAUGUACUGGUCUCACUGAUUCCUCCUUCCUUAUGAACCGUAAUGCCAUUAAUUUGGUGUUGCGGGGAAUUUGGACUGUUACUUUGAAAAAAUUAGAGUGUUUAAAGCAAGCUAACGCUUGAAUACAUUAGCAUGGAAUAAUGAAAUAGGACGUUCGAUCUUAUUUUGUUGGUUUCUAGGAUUGACGUAAUGAUUAAUAGGGAUAGUUGGGGGCAUUAGUAUUCAAUUGUCAGAGGUGAAAUUCUUGGAUUUAUUGAAGACUAACUACUGCGAAAGCAUUUGCCAGGGAUGUUUUCAUUAAUCAAGAACGAAAGUUAGGGGAUCGAAGACGAUCAGAUACCGUCGUAGUCUUAACCAUAAACUAUGCCGACUAGGGAUCGGAUGAUGUUAAUUUUUUAAUGACUCAUUCGGCGCCUUACGGGAAAC
rnacentral:rRNA from 1 species